GACGAACGCUGGCGGCGUGCUUAACACAAGCAAGUCGAGCGAUGAAAUUCCUUCGGGAAUGGAUUAGCGGCGGACGGGUGAGUAACACGUGGGUAACCUGCCUCAUAGAGGGGAAUAGCCUUCCGAAAGGAAGAUUAAUACCGCAUAAGAUUGUAGUAUCGCAUGAUACAGCAAUUAAAGGAGUAAUCCGCUAUGAGAUGGACCCGCGUCGCAUUAGCUAGUUGGUGAGGUAACGGCUCACCAAGGCGACGAUGCGUAGCCGACCUGAGAGGGUGAUCGGCCACAUUGGGACUGAGACACGGCCCAGACUCCUACGGGAGGCAGCAGUGGGGAAUAUUGCACAAUGGGGGAAACCCUGAUGCAGCAACGCCGCGUGAGUGAUGACGGUCUUCGGAUUGUAAAGCUCUGUCUUCAGGGACGAUAAUGACGGUACCUGAGGAGGAAGCCACGGCUAACUACGUGCCAGCCGCCGCCGUAACAC
rnacentral:rRNA from 1 species